UCCUUACUCUGACUGUACAAUCUAUACGGCAGUAAGGAAUAUGGUCAGAAUCCAUAACAGCUCACUCUACUGUAUGCCGAUACAUAUCUUUAUUACGCCACUGUAAGCAGAUUUACUAUAUAUUCAGUAUAUAAUGGUAUUCCCUCAAUAUAUAGCUAUAUUCUGUACAUGGGAAGGCAAAGAUAUGGCAGGUUUGUUAACCGUAAGCGGCAAGUCAGGAUAUUUACUGCACAAUAAUAUUACAC
rnacentral:ncRNA from 2 species